rnacentral:lncRNA from 1 species
CAGAUUUUAAAUUGCAAUUUGCUUGAAUCUCAUGGGAUCACCCUAUCAUCUACAAUCAGAGGUUCUUUAUACCAUAACAAUCCAACACCAAGUAACUACAACGUAGAACAACAAACAAAAUAAUGCAAUGCUUUAAGUAGAGCAUUAAAUACAGCAAUAUACCUUUCAGAAAAAUCAAUCUCCUCCAACUGUUGGAGCAAAAAUCUCGCCGCUGCCAAGGUCCGUUUCACAGAGCAAAGUUCACGAAUAGAGAGUAUACCUCCUGCAACGGAAGCAUCAACAAUAGGGGAAAUAUCUUCAAUUCCAGUAAAAUCCAACGGCCGAGGAACAGCCACGGCGGCCGAGGUCUGAGAGAGGAGUCUACUGCUCUCAUCAGGAGUUCUACCCACCGGAAUCCGAGCAGAUUGUGCUGCGGCGUAUCCCAUGGAUGUGGAAGUGAAGGAGGAGAGCUGUUGACACACUGCGGGCCAUUCUAGAAGCUUCAGGGUUUCGGAUUGCAGUGACUCGGCGAGUUUGAUUCUGUGAGUUGACUCGGAUGAGAAGCGGACGGAGAACCUAGUUGUACGACGGUUACAGAGCGAGCUGUGAGGCGGAGGAAGAUGAAUGGUUAAAAAAUUAUUGAAUUUGCAUUUGCAGUUGCAGUUGAAGAGAUUCAUUGAAGAUAAAGUUUGAAUUUUUGUUGAGCUUUGGGUGCGUUAUCCAGUUACUCUAAAAUGGAGGGAAGGACGGGUUACACGGCAAUACAGUAAGCAAUCCAUUAUGUCAUCAACAUUCUCAAACUUUUUGGUUAUGGUUCCAGCCGUAAAAUCAAUUAUUAAUGUUUUAUACUGUGUAAUGCGUCUUAUUAAAAAAUUAAGUUAUUUAAGUCAAACUACAUUCGCAAUUUGCUGAUUUUAAAAUAUGAAGCGAUUAGAAUCUAACAAACAAGUGGUGUUCGGAUCAGUUUGGGCAUGUAGUCUACUCACACUAGCACAUGAAGAAGAUAACUUUGUCCAAGAAAGAAAUAACUACUCAUGUUUUGUUACAUAAAAUUUGAGUCCCGGCCUCCCACAACAUUCUUUUUAAAUCUUAAUUUGUAUUAUGGGUGUGUAUAAGAAAGGAUUGCACAGAAGACAAAAAUACAGGAGUCUCAGCUUGUGUGUUUUGGUGGUUUUGCAGUUCUGAUAAAGACGAAAUUAAGUUGAUAUUAGUUUCUCAUGGCAUUUGUAAAUUAUGAAGAUGAAUUUAAUUCUUAAUGUGUACUUCAUCAACAACAAGAGCUUUCAGCUUCAAUUGAAAUAUUUAUUUUCUACAGAGUUAAAUAUCCAAUGACUAUCAACUAAGGGCCUGCAACAGAUUAUAUACACUCCAG